rnacentral:rRNA from 2 species
UANACUGCAGUCGACGAGCUUCCGUUGAAUGANGUGCUUGCACUGAUUUCNACAAUGAAGCGAGUGGCGAACUGGUGAGUAACACGUGGGAAAUCUGCCCAGAAGCAGGGGAUAACACUUGGAAACAGGUGCUAAUACCGUAUAACAACAAAAUCCGCAUGGAUUUUGUUUGAAAGGUGGCUUCGGCUAUCACUUCUGGAUGAUCCCGCGGCGUAUUAGUUAGUUGGUGAGGUAAAGGCCCACCAAGACGAUGAUACGUAGCCGACCUGAGAGGGUAAUCGGCCACAUUGGGACUGAGACACGGCCCAAACUCCUACGGGAGGCAGCAGUAGGGAAUCUUCCACAAUGGACGAAAGUCUGAUGGAGCAAUGCCGCGUGAGUGAAGAAGGGUUUCGGCUCGUAAAACUCUGUUGUUAAAGAAGAACACCUUUGAGAGUAACUGUUCAAGGGUUGACGGUAUUUAACCAGAAAGCCACGGCUAACUACGUGCCAGCAGCGNCGGU